UCAGGUAGUAACAGAGGUGCUCUGAUUAUGGCUCAGAUUGAACGCUGGCGGGAUGCUUUACACAUGCAAGUCGAACGGCAGCAUUGACUUCGGUCUGGUGGCGAGUGGCGAACGGGUGAGUAAUGUAUCGAACGCUCAGUAGCGGGGAUAACUACGCGAAAGCUGUAGCUAAUACCGUAUACACCCUUCGGGGAAAGCGGGGGGACCUUCUGGGCCUCGCACUAUUAGAGCGGCCGAUAUCGGAUUAGCUAGUUAGUAACGGCUCACCAAGGCGACGAUCCGUAGCUGGUUUGAGAGGACGACCAGCCACACUGGGACUGAGAUGACGCCCAGACUCCUACGGAGGCAGAUGGGGAAUUUUGAUGACAAUGGGGAAACCCUGAUCCAGCCAUCCCGCGUGUGCGAUGAAGGCCUUCGGGUUGUAAAGCACUUUUGGCAGGAAAGAAACGGCACGGGAUAAUACCCGUGCAACUGACGGUACCCGCAGAAUAAGCACCGGCUAACUACGUGCCAGCAGCCGCGGUAAUACGUAGGGUGCAGCGUUAAUCGGAAUUACUGGGCGUAAAGCGUGCGCAGGCGGUUCGGAAAGAAAGAUGUGAAAUCCCAGAGCUUAACUUUGGAACUGCAUUUUUAACUACCGAGCUAGAGUGUGUCAGAGGGAGGUGGAAUUCGCGUGUAGCAGUGAAAUGCGUAGAUAUGCGGAGGAACACCGAUGGCGAAGGCAGCCUGGGAUAACACUGACGUCAUGGCCGAAAGCGUGGGGAGCAAACAGGAUUAGAUACCCUGUAGUCCACGCCCUAAACGAUGUCAACUAGCUGUUGGGGCCUUCGGGCCUUGGUAGCAGCUAACGUAGUGAAGUUGACCGCCUGGGGAGCGGUCGCAAGAUUAAAACUCAAAGGAAUUGACGGGGACCUCGCACAACAGGGAUGAUGUGGACAAUUCGAUGCAACGCGAAAACCUACCUUACCCUUGACAUGUCUGAAUCCCGAAGAGAUUUGGGAGUGCUCGCAAAAGAGAACCGAACACAGGUGCUGCAUGGCUGUCGUCAGCUCUGGGGUUGGAGAUGCUAGUUAAGUCCCGCAACGAGCGCAACCUCGUCAUUAUUGGCUACGAAAGGGCACUCUAAUGAGACUGCCGACAAACCGAGAAGGUGGGGCUGACGCUGUCAAGUCCUCAUGGCCCUUAUGGGUAGGGCUUCACACGUCACAAUGGUCCGGGACAGAGGGUCGCCAACCCGCGAGGGGGAGCCAAUCCCCAGAAACCCGAUCGUAGUCCGGAUCGCAGUCUGCAACUCGACUGGUGAAGUCGGAAUCGCUAGUAAUCAUCGCGGAUCAGCGCUGUCGCGGUGAAUACGUUCCGGGUCUUGUACACACCGCCCGUCACACUAUGGGAGUGGGUUUUUACCAGGCGUGAAGUUAGCCUAACCGGGUAGAGGGCGAUUACCACGGUAGGAUUCAGAUCGGGGCGAAGUCGUAACAAGGUAG
rnacentral:rRNA from 1 species